UUGAACGCUGGCGGCAGGCCUAACACAUGCAAGUCGAACGGUAACAGGAAGCAGCUUGCUGCUUCGCUGACGAGUGGCGGACGGGUGAGUAAUGUCUGGGAAACUGCCUGAUGGAGGGGGAUAACUACUGGAAACGGUAGCUAAUACCGCAUAACGUCGCAAGACCAAAGAGGGGGACCUUCGGGCCUCUUGCCAUCGGAUGUGCCCAGAUGGGAUUAGCUAGUAGGUGGGGUAACGGCUCACCUAGGCGACGAUCCCUAGCUGGUCUGAGAGGAUGACCAGCCACACUGGAACUGAGACACGGUCCAGACUCCUACGGGAGGCAGCAGUGGGGAAUAUUGCACAAUGGGCGCAAGCCUGAUGCAGCCAUGCCGCGUGUAUGAAGAAGGCCUUCGGGUUGUAAAGUACUUUCAGCGGGGAGGAAGGGAGUAAAGUUAAUACCUUUGCUCAUUGACGUUACCCGCAGAAGAAGCACCGGCUAACUCCGUGCCAGCAGCCGCGGUAAUACGGAGGGUGCAAGCGUUAAUCGGAAUUACUGGGCGUAAAGCGCACGCAGGCGGUUUGUUAAGUCAGAUGUGAAAUCCCCGGGCUCAACCUGGGAACUGCAUCUGAUACUGGCAAGCUUGAGUCUCGUAGAGGGGGGUAGAAUUCCAGGUGUAGCGGUGAAAUGCGUAGAGAUCUGGAGGAAUACCGGUGGCGAAGGCGGCCCCUGGACGAAGACUGACGCUCAGGUGCGAAAGCGUGGGGAGCAAACAGGAUUAGAUACCCUGGUAGUCCACGCCGUAAACGAUGUCGACUUGGAGGUUGUGCCCUUGAGGCGUGGCUUCCGGAGCUAACGCGUUAAGUCGACCGCCUGGGGAGUACGGCCGCAAGGUUAAAACUCAAAUGAAUUGACGGGGGCCCGCACAAGCGGUGGAGCAUGUGGUUUAAUUCGAUGCAACGCGAAGAACCUUACCUGGUCUUGACAUCCACAGAACUUUCCAGAGAUGGAUUGGUGCCUUCGGGAACUGUGAGACAGGUGCUGCAUGGCUGUCGUCAGCUCGUGUUGUGAAAUGUUGGGUUAAGUCCCGCAACGAGCGCAACCCUUAUCCUUUGUUGCCAGCGGUCCGGCCGGGAACUCAAAGGAGACUGCCAGUGAUAAACUGGAGGAAGGUGGGGAUGACGUCAAAUCAUCAUGCCCUUUAUGUCCUGGGCUACACACGUACUACAAUGGCUAUAACAAAGAGAAGCGAGACCGCGAGGUGGAGCAAAACUCAAAAAAGUAGUCUCAGUUCGGAUUGUAGACUGAAAUUCGUCUACAUGAAGCUGGAAUUGCUAGUAAUGGCAGGUCAGCAUACUGCCGUGAAUACGUUCCCGGGCCUUGUACACACCGCCCGUCACACCAUGAGAGUUGGGGAUACCCGAAGCCUGUGAGCCAACAUAUCUAUGAGGCAGCAGUCGAAGGUAGAAUCAAUGAUUGGGGUG
rnacentral:rRNA from 1 species